UUUCUUCUUUUUUUUUCCUUCACUUUUCUAUUAUUUAAAUAUUUAUAUAUAUAUAUACAUGUAUAUAUGUUUGCCAGGAUCUAUUAUUUAAUAUUAUAUAUAUACAUAUAUAUAUGUUUGCCACCUGGAUAUUACAUUAAUCUUUUCUUCAGUUGUAUUAUUUAUUUUAAAUGUCUUAAAAACCUUGUCAUUUACGGUUGCCCCAUAAUUAUAUUUUCGUCAUGAAAGACACACAAAAGGAGUGUUUGUAGGCACUAAAUUUACCCACUGCAUUGAAUUAUGUUAUCAUAGCUUUGGUUAAAUUAAGUUAUGAGUGCAUAUAUGAGAGGACGUGAUAGCACACAAUUUCUAUCAAUCCAUGUAUAAUAUAAACGCACAAAUAUUAUGCAAUAUAUCAUAAAGAGAGAACAGAGUCCAAGAAAUAGCCUUGCUUUCCUAAUUCUCUUACUAAGACAUGACUGCAAUCCAUUGAACUUCACAUUACAAUGUUUCUACUAAAAAAGAAAAACUCAUGUAUUCCCAAAAGCCUUCUUUGUCAGAAAUUUUGAAGACUCAAAAGCUUUCUUUGUCAGAAAUUUUGAAGACUGGCCCCAAAGUAAAUAGUUUAUUUUUAAAUAAACCUUGAAAGACUGAACAAUUAACUAUUGUUUUGCUAAAUUAGACAACUCAUGAGAAAAACGCACUUUUUCAAAAAUUUUAACACCUUAUAUAAGGUAUUAAUCACCUAAUAAUAAUAAAUCAAUCAAGGAAACAAUAUUAAAAAUAAUAAAAUUAUAAGUUCAUACAAUAAAAAAAUAUGGAGAUAUAUCAAAGUUAGAGGAGAAUGUAUAAACUUCUUUUUCUAUACUUGUUAUUUAAAUACUAUAGAGAUACUUUAAAUAUAUAUAAAGCUGAUGACAUUAUUUUAUCAUGUAUUUAUUAAAUUGAUUUAUAUUAAAUUGAAUUUAGUUACAUUUAAUCUAAAUGUAAAAAUAUUUAUGAUAAUCAAUUACUCGUUUUACUUAAAAUUUUCAUUGAACUUGUUUUAUCGCCUUUAUGU
rnacentral:lncRNA from 1 species